rnacentral:rRNA from 1 species
ACGUAGGUGGCAAGCGUUGUCCGGAAUUACUGGGUGUAAAGGGAGCGUAGGCGGGAAGAUAAGUUGGACGUUUAAUCUAUCGGCUCAACCGAUAGUCGCGUUCAAAACUGUUUUUCUUGAGUGAAGUAGAGGUAAGCGGAAUUCCUAGUGUAGCGGUGAAAUGCGUAAAUAUUAGGAGGAACACCAGUGGCGAAGGCGGCUUACUGGGCUUUAACUGACGCUGAGGCUCGAAAGCGUGGGUAGCAAACAG